UACAUGCUAAGAAAGCGCAUACCGGUAGAGUCGUUCUGUGCCUCACCACCUUGUAGUUACUCUACCAGUAUUGUUAUGCUGCAACGAUC
rnacentral:ncRNA from 1 species